rnacentral:sRNA from 1 species
GAUUAAAAUGUCUGUUCUGUUGCUAAAAAACACCUAUUGUGUUAUAUAUUUGGCUAUGUUUUGUGUCAAUCUUCUGUACGAAAGCAGUGGCAGGUCGAUUUGGUUUGCUUUCGUCAGUGUUUUGAAAUGAUAAGCGAUGCAUGAUGAAAUAUGCCGAAUAUUGUGUUGUCUUAUGAAAUGGAACUCCCACAUUUUGUAAUUACUGAUGAAUUACUGAAAUUUAUAUUAUGUGCAACCUGUUGAUUUUUCGAAUAGAAUAGACAUUUUUA